CGAGUGGCGCACGGGUGAGUAAUGCAUAGGUAACGUGCCCCUUAGUCUGGGAUAGCCACUGGAAACGGUGAAUAAUACCGGAUACUCCUUCUCACUUAAUGUGAGUUGGGAAAGUUUUUCGCUAAGGGAUCGGCCUAUGUCCUAUCAGGUAGUUGGUGAGGUAAAAGCACACCAAGCCUAUGACGGGUAGCGGGUCUGAGAGGAUGAUCCGCCACACUGGUACUGAGACACGGACCGG
rnacentral:rRNA from 1 species